rnacentral:tmRNA from 1 species
GGGGCCGACCGGUUUUGACAGCAAGACCAAUGGCGAUGUAAGCAUGCCGAGCGCUGGGAUACAGCUCGUUAAUCUCAUGUUUCACACUUUUAAUUGGCGAUAAUAAUUACGCUCUUGCCGCAUAAUCUGAAUUAUAGUAAGAUUAGCCUCGUCCCUACAAGGUAGGGAAGCGAGAUGUCCCUUGGUAGCCCUUGUUGACGGCGACCUUUUUAGGGGCACCAAAAAAGUCAACACAAGGGUCGUGUAGCUUUGGCACGAUCACCAAAAUCUUAAAAAGCUAAGUGUAGGAUAGGCCGUUUUCAGUCGGUUCUGCAUCGAAAACCAAGUGAAGACUACGCAUGUAGAAAGCAUGGUUAUUGCUUGUUUGGACGAGGGUUCGAAUCCCUCCGGCUCCACUA